CCAGAGAUGGAUUGGUGCCUUCGGGAACUUAGAUACAGGUGCUGCAUGGCUGUCGUCAGCUCGUGUCGUGAGAUGUUGGGUUAAGUCCCGNAACGAGCGCAACCCUUUUCCUAUUUGCCAGCGGGUCAUGCCGGGAACUUUAAGGAUACUGCCAGUGACAAACUGGAGGAAGGCGGGGACGACGUCAAGUCAUCAUGGCCCUUACGGCCAGGGCUACACACGUGCUACAAUGGUCGGUACAAAGGGUUGCUACCUCGCGAGAGGAUGCUAAUCUCAAAAAGCCGAUCGUAGUCCGGAUCGCAGUCUGCAACUCGACUGCGUGAAGUCGGAAUCGCUAGUAAUCGCGGAUCAGAAUGCCGCGGUGAAUACGUUCCCGGGCCUUGUACACACCGCCCGUCACACCAUGGGAGUUUGUUGCACCAGAAGUAGGUAGUCUAACCGCAAGGAGGACGCUUACCACGGUGUGGCCGAUGACUGGGGUGAAGUCGUAACAAGGUAGGCGUAGAUGA
rnacentral:rRNA from 1 species